AGAGGGGGCAAGCGUUAUUCGGAAUUAUUGGGCGUAAAGGGCGCGUAGGCGGUCGUUCAAGUGGUAGGUGAAAUCCCUCGGCUCAACCGAGGAGCUGCCCGCCAAACUGAAUGACUUGAGUCCGGGAGAGGUGAGUGGAAUUCCCAGUGUAGCGGUGAAAUGCGUAGAUAUUGGGAGGAACACCAGUGGCGAAGGCGGCUCACUGGACAGGAACUGACGCUGAGGCGCGAAAGCGUGGGGAGCAAACGGGAUUAGAUACCCCGGUAGUCCACGCUGUAAACGAUGAGUGCUUGGUGUAGCGGGUAUCGACCCCUGCUGUGCCGAAGCUAACGCAUUAAGCACUCCGCCUGGGGAGUACGGUCGCAAGGCUG
rnacentral:rRNA from 1 species